AUAUAUCUAUAUAAUAAAGCACAAAGGUUUUUGAAAAAUGUAUCAAAGUGUAUAUGAGAUACAUUUUGAUCCAAUGGCUGAGAUCAAUUCUAAGAAUAUAUUAACGGUACAGAUCAUAAUAAAGGACAAAAUUUUUUGAAAAUGUGAGAUAUAUUCCCGCCUAUCCACGUCUCUCUCUCCCUUUCUGUUCUCAGCCACGCUCUCUCCCUCUGCCUUCCACCUACCGACGUCUCUCUCAGCCUUCCCUCUUUAUCUCUUUCUCCCUCUCUGUUCUUCUUCUUUCCGCUUCUCCCUCUUUGUCCUUCGCCGCUGCUCAUCAUCACCAUAGCCGGAGAGCGACACAGAGAGCGACACAGAAAGCUCUGCUUAAUUCGGACUCAACUACCAUCUCCCCCAUCAAUCCUCGAAACUUCACUCAACCGAAGAUCCAAACCUCUCUUCACUUCUCUCCAAAAGAUAACCACCACCAUCGUUUGAUUCGACGGAAAGCUCGGUUCACUGCGAAAUCUGUGAUUGAUUCGGCCACGAUUGAUCAACUAGGGAUUCCGGAAUCCGGCAGUUUCGACUUCGCAUCGGAGCUCCAAGUUUCGGAAACCCAAUCAGACCGUGUUGGAAGCUCAAGCCAAGGUCUGCACUGAAGAACAAGCUUUCAAGGUUUUGGACACCAUUUUGAGAUCAGGUUGGCAGUGUGUUUUUGUCUACCCAUUUUCCAAAAUUUCAAAUUCAGUAAACUCCGUGUGGAUAUAAAUGAAAAGGAAACUUUUGAGAGGGAGCUUCAAAAUCUGGAAGAUGAACAAAAUAACCGUGUUCGUGGCUUUCGAGAGGUGAUCGAUUUGAUUUCUACUUCUCAGAAACCUGUUGUUGCCCACAACUCACUUAGUGAUUUUACAUUCAUUUAUUCAAAAUUCCUUUCCUCACUACCUUCUAGCAUGGAUGAGUUCAGGUGUUCUGUGCGUUUGGUUUUCCCCCACAUACUUGAUGUCAGCCAUCUGAUGAAGGAAAUUAGCCUUAUGAAAAAGGUGACCAACUUACCUGCAGCUAUUUCGUCUUUAAAAAGACGGUUCUUUGCGCCUAUUGAUAUGAAGAUUUCUCACCAAGGCAAGUCACUCUUACAUACUUGCCUCUCAUGCUCACAGCAUGAUCUGUUUUAAGUAGUAUAUUGAUUGGAAAAUGCCUUCAUGAUUGGUUCUCUCAGUGACAUGGAAAACCAGGGUAUUUGCCAAUAUAGUUUCUGUCAUCUUUGGAGAAUUGAAAUUGCUGCUAAUUAAUUGUAUCUGAUGUUUCACGAGGUAAACAGUAAUUUAAUGUUCCAUUAACUGGCCAAGUUUCAAUCUUUCAGAUGAUGCAAGCGAGAGCAAUAUCCAUGGCCAUGAUGUUCUGAGGAUAAGUGAAUUGUUUGCUAA